rnacentral:rRNA from 1 species
GAUGAACGCUGGCGGCGUGCCUAAUACAUGCAAGUCGAGCGAACGGACGAGAAGCUUGCUUCUCUGAUGUUAGCGGCGGACGGGUGAGUAACACGUGGAUAACCUACCUAUAAGACUGGGAUAACUUCGGGAAACCGGAGCUAAUACCGGAUAAUAUUUUGAACCGCAUGGUUCAAAAGUGAAAGACGGUCUUGCUGUCACUUAUAGAUGGAUCCGCGCUGCAUUAGCUAGUUGGUAAGGUAACGGCUUACCAAGGCAACGAUGCAUAGCCGACCUGAGAGGGUGAUCGGCCACACUGGAACUGAGACACGGUCCAGACUCCUACGGGUGGCAGCAGUAGGGAAUCUUCCGCAAUGGGCGAAAGCCUGACGGAGCAACGCCGCGUGAGUGAUGAAGGUCUUCGGAUCGUAAAACUCUGUUAUUAGGGAGGAACAUAUGUGUAAGUAACUGUGCACAUCUUGACGGUACCUAAUCAGAAAGCCACGGCUAACUACGUG